GGUUAAUAGGUGCUUCUCACAAGCACAUCGCCUUCAUCAGAUCUGGGUUUCUCUUUUAUGUACUAGGCGUAAAAGAUACGUAGUGGGAGAUAUCCUUGGGAGCAGAACGUAAUGGCUUCUUUGUUCAAGGAUUUAGCCAAGAUUUCAGCUUAUAGGGACAAAAGAUUUCCAGGAACACAAGAAGAAUUUGAAGAUGCUUUGUUAAGGUCGAUAACUGUUUAUGUCGGGAACAUGUCUUUCUACACAACAGAGGAACAAGUAUAUGAGCUGUUCUCUCGUGCUGGAGAGAUUAAAAAGAUAGUGAUGGGUUUGGAUAAGAAUUCCAAAACUCCUUGUGGAUUCUGCUUUAUAAUGUACUACUCUAGAGACGACGCUGAAGACUCUGUCAAAUAUAUCAGUGGAACAAUUCUUGAUGAUCGCCCUAUUCGUGUUGAUUUUGAU
rnacentral:misc_RNA from 1 species